GUGGGGAAUAUUGCACAAUGGGCGAAAGCCUGAUGCAGCGACGCCGCGUGAAGGAUGAAGUUAUUUCGGUAUGUAAACUUCUAUCAGCAGGGAAAGAAAAUGACGGUACCUGACUAAGAAGCCCCGGCUAACUACGUGCC
rnacentral:rRNA from 1 species